rnacentral:rRNA from 1 species
GAUGAACGCUGGCGGCGUGCCUAAUACAUGCAAGUCGAGCGAACGGACGAGAAGCUUGCUUCUCUGAUGUUAGCGGCGGACGGGUGAGUAACACGUGGAUAACCUACCUAUAAGACUGGGAUAACUUCGGGAAACCGGAGCUAAUACCGGAUAAUAUUUUGAACCGCAUGGUUCAAAAGUGAAAGACGGUCUUGCUGUCACUUAUAGAUGGAUCCGCGCUGCAUUAGCUAGUUGGUAAGGUAACGGCUUACCAAGGCAACGAUGCAUAGCCGACCUGAGAGGGUGAUCGGCCACACGGGAACGGAGACACGGUCCAAACCCCUACGGGAGGCAGCAGUAGGGAAUUUUCCGAAAUGGGCGAAAGCCGGACGGAGCAACGCCGGGUGAGUGAUGAAGGUCUUCGGAUCGUAAAACUCUGUUUUUAGGAAAGAACAUAUGUGUAAGUAAAUGGGCAAAUUUUGACGGUACCUAUUCAAAAAGCCACGGCUAACCACGU